rnacentral:lncRNA from 1 species
ACUUAGAAUAAGAAGAUAACUGUUAUGACUGACAAUGCUGCACUUGCUACACUUUGCCUCAGAUUUCUACAGGUAUCUUUCCAUCAUUCAAGCUUGAGAACCUGACCCAAACAAUUUCCUAAAGAAGCAUAGCUACUUAAAUUCUUUGCCUGAAGACAGUGGCUUAGUUCGGAAAAAGUCUGUCACAAAUUUAUCCCUUUUUAC